GACGAACGCUGGCGGCGUGCUUAACACAUGCAAGUCGAACGGUGAACCAGAGCUUGCUCUGGGGAUCAGUGGCGAACGGGUGAGUAACACGUGGGCAACCUGCCCCAGACUCUGGGAUAACCUCGGGAAACCGAUGCUAAUACCGGAUACGACCACUUCGGACAUCCGACGGUGGUGGAAAGUUUUUCGGUCUGGGAUGGGCCCGCGGCCUAUCAGCUAGUUGGUGGGGUAAUGGCCUACCAAGGCGACGACGGGUAGCCGGCCUGAGAGGGCGACCGGCCACACUGGAACUGAGACACGGUCCAGACUCCUACGGGAGGCAGCAGUGGGGAAUAUUGCACAAUGGGCGAAAGCCUGAUGCAGCGACGCCGCGUGAGGGACGACGGCCUUCGGGUUGUAAACCGUCUUUCAGCAGGACGAAGCGAAAGUGACUGUACCUGCAGAAGAAGCACCGGCUAACUACGUGCCAGCAGCCGCGGUAAU
rnacentral:rRNA from 1 species